rnacentral:snoRNA from 1 species
UGGAUCACAGGACCCCUUUACACUCAUAAAUAAAUUAUUGAUGUACCAGAGAGCCUGACCCUGACCCAAAAUAAAUUCCCAGGAGACGUAUUUCCUGGGUUUUGAAUUUGCCGUAACAGACACGAGCAUUCUCGCACCAGUUUGGUGAUCAUGUAUGAUACUGCAAAUAGGA